GUGCUCGCUUCAGCAGCACAUAUACUAAAAUUGGAACAAUACAGAGAAGAUUAUCAUGGCUGUCUCAUAAGAAUGACAUGCAAAUUCGUAAAGCAUUCCAUAUUUUU